rnacentral:snRNA from 1 species
AUACCUUUCUCGGCCUUUUGGCUAAGAGCAAGUGUAGUAUCUGUUCUUAUCAGUUUGAUAUCUGAUAUGUGGGCCAUUGGUCCACAUGAUAUUAACUCUAUUUUUUUAGGGGGAAGGCUCAUCAAGGUAGCUUGCUGCCUGGGCUUUCUCACGUUGCCUAAGUGUUGCACUGUUGCUUGGCCUGGCGCACCCCAC